AUGGAGGAGAGGCUGAAACUAAGUCGCGACAGCACGACGGAGGAAGUGGAUGCUACGCAGUACCGACGCCUUGUGGGGAGCCUUCGCUACCUCACUCACACACGGCCGGACUUGGCAUUCUCCGUCGGCUAUGUCAGUCGGUUCAUGGAGCGACCAACGUCGGAACACCAGCAGGCAGUGAAGAGGAUCGUCCGCUACAUAGCAGGGACCCUCGACCACGGCCUCCACUACCCUAGGUGUCCUGGGGCGGCACACUUCGUCGGGUACAGCGACAGCGACCACGCCGGCGACAUCGACACCAGCAAGAGCACGAGCGGGAUCCUCCUCUUCCUCGGCAAGUGUCUCGUGAGCUGGCAAUCAGUCAAGCAGCAGGUGGUGGCCCUGUCCAGCUGUGAGGCUGAGUACAUAGCGGCCUCCACCGCCUGUACUCAGGCGCUCUGGCUUGCUCGACUACUUGGUGAUCUUCUCGUUCAAGACACCAGAACGGUGCAGCUCCUGGUGGACAGCAAGUCCGCCCUGGCCCUGGCAAAGAACCCCGUGUUCCACGAACGGAGCAAGCACAUCCGACUGAGGUAUCACUUCAUCCGCAGCUGUGUGGAAGAAGGGAGCAUCGAGGCGAGCUACAUCAACACCAAGGAUCAGCUCGCAGACCUGCUCACCAAGCCCCUUGGGAGGGUCAAGUUCCUCGAACUUUGCUCCAGGAUUGGGAUGAUUCAACUCUCCCACAAGACGACGUACAAGACUUAG
rnacentral:rRNA from 1 species